rnacentral:rRNA from 1 species
GACGAACGCUGGCGGCGUGCUUAACACAUGCAAGUCGAACGGAAAGGCCCUGCUUUUGUGGGGUGCUCGAGUGGCGAACGGGUGAGUAACACGUGAGUAACCUGCCCUUGACUUUGGGAUAACUUCAGGAAACUGGGGCUAAUACCGGAUAGGAGCUCCUGCUGCAUGGUGGGGGUUGGAAAGUUUCGGCGGUUGGGGAUGGACUCGCGGCUUAUCAUCUUGUUGGUGGGGUAGUGGCUUACCAAGGCUUUGACGGGUAGCCGGCCUGAGAGGGUGACCGGCCACAUUGGGACUGAGAUACGGCACAGACUCCUACGGGAGGCAGCAGUGGGGAAUAUUGCACAAUGGGCGGAAGCCUGAUGCAGCAACGCCGCGUGCGGGAUGACGGCCUUCGUGUUGUAAACCGCUUUCGCCUGUGACGAAGCGUGAGUGACGGUAAUGGGUAAAGAAGCACCGGCUAACUACGUG